rnacentral:rRNA from 1 species
CCGGGCUACCUUCUGAGUUUUAAACAUAUCAAAAAAAGGAGGAAAUU